rnacentral:rRNA from 1 species
CGUGUAGGCGGCCAAGUAAGUCUGAUGUGAAAGCCCGGGGCUUAACCCCGGAAGUGCAUUGGAUACUGUUUGGCUAGAGGGCGAGAGGGGGAAGCGGAAUUCCUGGUGUAGGGGUGAAAUCCGUAGAUAUCAGGAGGAACAUCGGUGGCGAAGGCGGCUUCCUGGCUCGUUUCUAACGCUGAGACGCGAAAGCGUGGGUAGCAAACAGGAUUAGAUACCCUGGUAGUCC